rnacentral:rRNA from 1 species
GACUCUUAAAAGAAGGCCCUGAGUGUGCCGAAUCUCAUCUGAUCUCGGAAGCUACGCAGGGUCGGGCUUGGUUAGUACUUGGACAGGAGACCACCUAGGAAUACCAGGUGCUGUAGGCA